AUUUUAGAUAGAGGAUGCAUGCAUUCUGGUUACCCAGCAAAGGCACCAUUUUGAGGGGUGAAGAGAGACAGGCCAUCAGUGUGUUCUCCCAACACCACCUUUGUCAUAGAGCACACAACCACAGACAGCUGCAAGACUCCGCAUUUGCUCAACUUCCCAGGUGACGAUGAUGCUGCUGAUCCUGGGACUACACGACUUGCAGGCAGUGACUGAACAUCAUGGGUCAGACACGGGCAUGCCCCCAGCAGCUCCAUGGCCCGUCUCAAGUCUUCUCAGAACUGCUCCGGCUUCAAGAACGGGUCACGGUGCCCUUGGGGCACCUGCUGCUGUCCAGCAACCAGAGAGGUGAAUUCAGAAAGUCCUUUGAAUCAAACUGGAGUUCAGGAACUGCCAGCAUUUUCCUGAAGCCAUAAAAAAACAAGAUCGGCAGAUGUAAAUACUUAACAAAUAUUUAGCCUCUGUCUUCCAACAGACCUCAUAAACAAAAUCCAAAGGCCAUUAAGUGAGAAAAUUAUUUGCAACAACAAACAAAAAUAAAUAAAU